rnacentral:rRNA from 1 species
CCCUUAGAUGUUCUGGGCCGCACGCGCGCUACACUGAUGAAUUCAACGAGCUCCUAACCUAGGCCGAAGGGUCCGGGUAAUCUUUGAAAUUUCAUCGUGAUGGGGAUAGAUUAUUGCAAUUAUUAAUCUUCAACGAGGAAUUCCUAGUAAGCGCGAGUCAUCAGCUCGCGUUGAUUACGUCCCUGCCCUUUGUACACACCGCCCGUCACUCCUACCGAUUGAAUGGUCCGGUGAAAUGUUCGGACCGCGACAAGGCGGACGGUUCGCUGUCAGCUUUGCUGCGGGAAGUUCAUUAAACCUUAUCAUUUAGAGGAAGGAGAAGUCGUAACA